AGGAUUCCCCUAGUAACGGCGAGUGAAGAGGGAAGAGCCCAGCGCCGAAGCCUGCGCAGGUUUGCUGUUAGGCAAUGUGGUGUUUGGGUCGGCUCGUGGGACCACCGCUCCACUCGAAGUCCAGCAUUGAGUAUGGUUACUGGAUUUGGCCCAGAGAGGGUGAAAGGCCCGUACGGUGGAGUAUCAGACAUGUGAGUUGUGGUUCACCAGGCCGGCCUUAGAGUCGGGUUGUUUGGGAAUGCAGCCCAAAGUGGGUGGUAAACUCCAUCCAAGGCUAAAUACUAGCACGAGUCCGAUAGCGAACAAGUACCGUGAGGGAAAGUUGAAAAGUACUCUGAAGAGAGAGUAAACAGUACGUGAAACCGCAUGCAGGUAAACGGGUGGCGUCAAGCUGCAAGCCCAGAGAAUUCAGCGGCUAGGGUGUUGUGUAUGCGCCUGGCGCAUCUAUCAGUCGGAGAGGCAUUGGGUAGUCCGCUAGAAAACAGCGGGCCUGUCCGCAAGGUCAGGAUAUGCGUACCGGGUGGGUGCCGGAGCAUGCUACCCCUCUGCAGGACUGUCUAGCCGGUGCACUUUCUCUGUGGUCAACACCACGACCGGUGGUACUGCCAGUCUACUGUGUCCAAGUCGCGUCUGCUAGGUCCUCGUGGCCGACCGGAUGCGAUCACACGCAAACUCAGUAAACGGCGUGAAGGUGUCUUUCUCGGCACUUCUGCGUGCUAUCGGCUACUGGUUGUGAACGAGCCUGCUCGGUGUUUGUUGUAACCGGCACCUGGGUGGCUCGGUGGGGCAUGGUGGUAAGAAUAACUGUGCAAGGCACCGGGGUCGUCGGCCUCAAUUGCGUCCUACGUCCACGUUACAAGUGAACUGUGCUAUUACACAGACUGCGUCGUCGCUGCCUGCCCGUUGUUGGGUCUGAUUGGCGUGUUGCCUGCGCAAAGUAGGCCCGAUGGCUCGGCUCGGGAUGGGUAGUUGGUGGCGUUGUCGCCGGCGUGGGGCGUUGUGGGCCCAAUAGUCAGUGGUG
rnacentral:rRNA from 1 species